GCCUCCAUAGCUCAACGGAUCAGAGCGCUUCGCUUCGGACGAAGAGGUUAGGGGUUCGAAUCCUCUUGGGGGCGCCA
rnacentral:tRNA from 7 species